ACCUGGCGGCGUGCCUAACACAUGCAAGUCGAACGAGAAAGUGGAGCAAUCCAUGAGUACAGUGGCGUACGGGUGAGUAACACGUGACUAACCUACCCUCGAGUGGGGAAUAACUUCGGGAAACCGAGGCUAAUACCGCAUAAUGUCUACGGACCAAAUGCGCAAGCAGCUUGAGGAGGGGGUCGCGGCUGAUUAGCUUGUUGGCGGGGUAACGGCCCACCAAGGCAAUGAUCAGUAGCCGGCCUGAGAGGGCGCACGGCCACACUGGAACUGAAACACGGUCCAGACUCCUACGGGAGGCAGCAGUGGGGAAUUUUGCGCAAUGGGGGAAACCCUGACGCAGCAACGCCGCGUGGAGGAUGAAGCCCCUUGGGGUGUGAACUCCUUUCGAUCGGGACGAUUAUGACGGUACCGGAUGAAGAAGCACCGGCUAACUCUGUGCCAGCAGCCGCGGUAAUACAGAGGGUGCAAGCGUUGUUCGGAAUUAUUGGGCGUAAAGGGUGCGUAGGCGGUGCGGUAAGUCUUCUGUGAAACCUCCGGGCUUAACUCGGAGCCUGCAGGGGAAACUGCCGGGCUGGAGGAUGGGANAAGUGAGUGGAAUUCCCCGGUGUAGCGGUGAAAUGCGUAGAUAUCGGGA
rnacentral:rRNA from 1 species